GCAUAUCAAUAAGCGGAGGAAAAGAAACCAACAGGGAUUGCCCCAGUAGCGGCGAGUGAAGCGGCAAGAGCUCAGAUUUGAGAUCGUGUUUCGGCACGAGUUGUAGAGUGUAGGCGGGAGUCUCUGUGGAGCGCGGUGUCCAAGUCCCUUGGAACAGGGUGCCUGAGAGGGUGAGAGCCCCGUAGGGUGCUGCGCGAAGCUUUUGAGGCCCUGCUGACGAGUCGAGUUGUUUGGGAAUGCAGCUCCAAGCGGGUGGUAAAUUCCAUCUAAGGCUAAAUAUUGGCGAGAGACCGAUAGCGAACAAGUACUGUGAAGGAAAGAUGAAAAGCACUUUGAAAAGAGAGUGAAAAAGUACGUGAAAUUGUUGAAAGGGAAGGGCAUUAGAUCAGACUUGGUGUUUUACGAUUAUCUUCUCUUCUUGAGUUGUGCACUCGUAUUUCACUGGGCCAGCAUCGAUUCGGAUGGUAAGAUAAUGACAGUUGAACGUGGCUCCAUUCGUGGAGUGUUAUAGCUUCUGUUUAUAUUGCCUGUCUGGAUCGAGGGCUGCGUCUUUUGACUAGGAUGCUGGCGUAAUGAUCUAAUGCCGCCCGUCUU
rnacentral:rRNA from 1 species